CUUUGCAUAUGAAAGACCCCCAGAGUGGGGAGAUCCUCACUCAAGUCUCCGGAUAAGCCGAUGCCCCAAUAAUUCAAGAGAGACC
rnacentral:pre_miRNA from 11 species